AACGAACGCUGGCGGCAUGCCUAACACAUGCAAGUCGAACGAGACCUUCGGGUCUAGUGGCGCACGGGUGCGUAACGCGUGGGAACCUGCCCUUAGGUUCGGAAUAACUCCCCGACAGGGGUGCUAAUACCGGAUAAUGUCUUCGGACCAAAGAUGUAUCGCCUUUGGAUGGGCCCGCGUUGGAUUAGCUAGUUGGUAGGGUAAAAGCCUACCAAGGCGACGAUCCAUAGCUGGUCUGAGAGGAUGAGCAGCCACACUGGGACUGAGACACGGCCCAGACUCCUACGGGAGGCAGGAGUGGGGAAUAUUGGACAAUGGGCGAAAGCCUGAUCCAGCAAGGCCGCGUGAGUGAUGAAGGCCUUAGGGUUGUAAAGCUCUUUUACCCGGGAUGAUAAUGACAGUACCGGGAGAAUAAGCUCCGGCUAACUCCGUG
rnacentral:rRNA from 1 species